UACAUGGGGUGCAAACGUUGCUCGGAAUUAUUGGGCGUAAAGCGCACGUAGGCGGUUUGUUAAGUCGGAUGUGAAAUCCCUCGGCUCAACUGAGGAAGUGCACCCGAAACUGGCAGGCUUGAGUACUAAAAGAGGGUCGCGGAAUUCCCGGUGUAGAGGUGAAAUUCGUAGAUAUCGGGAGGAACACCGGUGGCGAAGGCGGCGACCUGGGUAGAUACUGACGCUGAGGUGCGAAAGCGUGGGGGAGCAAACAGGG
rnacentral:rRNA from 1 species